AUUGAACGCUGGCGGCAGGCCUAACACAUGCAAGUCGAGCGGAUGAAGGGAGCUUGCUCCUGGAUUCAGCGGCGGACGGGUGAGUAAUGCCUAGGAAUCUGCCUGGUAGUGGGGGAUAACGUCCGGAAACGGGCGCUAAUACCGCAUACGUCCUGAGGGAGAAAGUGGGGGAUCUUCGGACCUCACGCUAUCAGAUGAGCCUAGGUCGGAUUAGCUAGUUGGUGGGGUAAAGGCCUACCAAGGCGACGAUCCGUAACUGGUCUGAGAGGAUGAUCAGUCACACUGGAACUGAGACACGGUCCAGACUCCUACGGGAGGCAGCAGUGGGGAAUAGUGGACAAUGGGCGAAAGCCUGAUCCAGCCAUGCCGCGUGUGUGAAGAAGGUCUUCGGAUUGUAAAGCACUUUAAGUUGGGAGGAAGGGCAGUAAGUUAAGACCUUGCUGUUUUGACGUUACCAACAGAAUAAGCACCGGCUAACUUCGUG
rnacentral:rRNA from 1 species